GUUCUCAUUGGCAAGGCUGGGGACACAAUUCGAUACUUGCAGUACAAUUCUGGUGCGAAGAUUCAAAUCAUGAGGGAUGCAGAAGCCGAUCCCAAUCGUUUAACUAGACCUGUAGAAAUAAUUGGAACUUCGGAAAAUAUAAAGAAGGCAGAGGAGUUAAUUAAUGCUGUGAUUGCAGAGGCUGAUGCUGGUGGAUCUCCAUCCCUUAUAGCCAGAGGCCUUACUUCAUCGCAUUCUAUUGCAACUGCUGAACAGAUUCAGUUACAAGUUCCAAAUGAAAAGGUUGGUUUAAUUAUUGGAAGAGGUGGGGAGACUAUUAAAAGUCUGCAGACCAGAUCUGGUGCACGU
rnacentral:misc_RNA from 1 species